rnacentral:rRNA from 1 species
ACCUGGUUGAUCUUGCCAGUAGUCAUAUGCUUGUCUCAAAGAUUAAGCCAUGCAAGUGAAAGUAUAUGCAUAUUUUAUAUGUAGAAACUGCGAACGGCUCAUUAAAACAGUUAUAAUCUACUUGACAUUUUAUUAUAAGGAUAACUACGGAAAAGCUGUAGCUAAUACUUGCUUUAAGUGCUUUUUACUCUCCGGAGUAAUUAGCAUGUAUUUGUUAAGCCUUAUAAGAAAAAUUUUUAAUUAAAGGAAUUAUAACAAAGAAGUAACACAUAAUAUAUUUAUUAUAUUUAGUGUGUAUCAAUCGAGUUUCUGACCUAUCAGCUUUUGAUGUUAGGGUAUUGGCCUAACAUGGCUAUGACGGGUAACGGGGGAAUUAGAUUCGAUUCCGGAGAGGGAGCCUGAGAAAUAGCUACCACAUCUAAGGAAGGCAGCAGGCGCGUAAAUUACCCAAUUCUAAAUAAGAGAGGUAGUGACAAGAAAUAACAAUAUAAGGCCAAAUUUUGGUUUUAUAAUUGGAAUGAUGGGAAUUUAAAACCUUCCCAAAAAUCAAUUGGAGGGCAAGUCUGGUGCCAGCAGCCGCGGUAAUUCCAGCUCCAAUAGCGUAUAUUAAAAUUGUUGCAGUUAAAACGCUCGUAGUUGAACUUCAAGGGUAUUAUUAUUUUAAGCAACUCACUUGGCUAGAUUCUUGGCUCCGCCUCGAUAUCUCAUGCCUCGUUGCAGUUCUUUUAAUUACUGGCCCUUUGAGAGCCCACUGAUUUAUCAUUGGGCUCUCGUUACUUUGAGUAAAUUUAGAGUGUUCAAAGCAAACAGUUAAAGCCGUUUUCYGCGUUUGAAUACUAUAGCAUGGAAUAACCAAAUUGAACAAGUCAAAUUUUUKGUUCUUUUUUCUUAUUUBGGCUUAGUUACGAUUAAUAGGAGUAGCUUGGGGGCAUUAGUAUUCAGAUGUCAGAGGUGAAAUUCUUAGAUUUUCUGGAGACAAACAACUGCGAAAGCAUUUGCCUAAAAUACUUCCAUUAAUCAAGAACGAAAGUUAAGGGAGUGAAGACGAUCAGAUACCGUCGUAAUCUUAACCAUAAACUAUGCCGACUAGGUUUUGGAUGAAAAUUUAUAAAUAAGAUUUCCCUCCGGGGAAUUCUUAGAUUGCUUCCUUCGAGUACCUUAUGAGAAUCAAAGUCUUUGGGUUCUGGGGCGAGUAUUCGCGCAAGCGAGAAAGUUAAAAGAAUUGACGGAAGGGCACCACCAGGCGUGGAGCUUGCGGCUUAAUUUGACUCAACACGGGGAAACUCACUAGUUUAAGACAAGAGUAGGAUUGACAGAUUAAUAGCUCUUUCUUGAUUUCUUGGAUGGUGAUGCAUGGCCGUUUUUAGUUCGUGAAUAUGAUUUGUCUGGUUAAUUCCGAUAACGAACGAGAUCUUAACCUGCUAAUUAGCGGCGAGUACGCUAUAUCCUUUAUCGGGGGAUUGGUUUUGACGUUUUUGCGGUCAUACUGCUUAAUCAAUUGGUUUACCUUUUGCUCUUUUGCGGUAUGUUUCUCGCAUCUUCGACAUGCCUCUCUUCUGAUAAGGAUGUAUUCGCUUUAUUUAAUGCUUCUU